rnacentral:snoRNA from 1 species
GAUAAUAACGCUGAGCCGACUUUUGGUGGCGCCGAUUCAGAUGAACCGGAGCCUCCUCUCAGAAACGAGUUGGUGACAUCAUCCACUGUAAAAGUGGUUUCGGAUUAGUC